rnacentral:rRNA from 1 species
GACGAACCGUGCGAACGUUAUUCGGAUUUAUUGGGCGUAAAGAGCGUGUAGGCGGCCAGACAGGUCCGUUGUGAAAACUCGAGGCUCAACCUCGAGACGCCGAUGGAAACCGUCUGGCUAGAGUCCGGAAGAGGAGAGUGGAAUUCCCGGUGUAGCGGUGAAAUGCGCAGAUAUCGGGAAGAACACCCGUGGCGAAGGCGGCUCUCUGGGACGGUACUGACGCUGAGACGCGAAAGCGUGGGGAGCGAACAGG